UACAGAGGGUGCAAGCGUUGCUCGGAAUCAUUGGGCGUAAAGGGCAGGUAGGUGGUCCGAUUUGUCUGGAGGUGAAAGCCUUGGGCUUAACCCAAGAAGUGCCCCGGAAACGGUCAGACUUUGAGUCUUGGAGAGGGUUGCGGAAUUCCCGGUGUAGCGGUGAAAUGCGUAGAGAUCGGGAGGAACACCAGAGGCGAAGGCGGCAACCUGGACAGUGACUGACGCUGAGACGCGAAAGCGUGGGGAGCAAACAGG
rnacentral:rRNA from 1 species